UACGUAGGGGGCGAGCGUUGUCCGGAAUUAUUGGGCGUAAAGAGCGUGUAGGCGGUUCGGUAAGUCUGCCGUGAAAACCUGGGGCUCAACCCCGGGCGUGCGGUGGAUACUGCCGGGCUAGAGGGUGGUAGAGGCGAGUGGAAUUCCUGGUGUAGCGGUGAAAUGCGCAGAUAUCAGGAGGAACACCGAUGGCGAAGGCAGGUCUCUGGGCCACUACUGACGCUGAGAAGCGAAAGCAUGGGGAGCGAACAGG
rnacentral:rRNA from 1 species